rnacentral:lncRNA from 1 species
AUCAAUUCAUUCAAAGCCACCACUCACACCUACAAACUUAAUAAUGUGGAGUGUUCUCACUCCACAUAUCUAAGACCGGUGUUGUUUCCAAUCCAUCCACAUAACGCAUCGAGAACAACAUCCGGUGCAGCACACCUAAAACGCACACCUCACGCACACUUUUUACCAGCCGCCAUCAUCCUCGAACCACUGACCCAUCUUCAGGA